UUGCAACCGACGAUGUUGGAAUGGCUCAAUCAAAUCAAAACUCCUGAGAAUCGGGUCUUUUAGUUUGAUUGAGCCGUGCCAAUAUCAUGUUCAGGAAA
rfam:Erythranthe guttata cultivar DTN x IM62 scaffold_120_contig_17, whole genome shotgun sequence.